GCCUGGGUGGCUCAGUGGGUAAAGCGUCCGACUUCAGCUCGGGUCAUGAUCUCACGGUUUGUGGGUUUGGGCCCCACAUCAGGCU
rnacentral:tRNA from 1 species